GGCCCCAGCAUCAUUGAAAAUGAAGGACUUUGCACUUUAGAAACAUGACUCAUAACUCUUAACUCUCAUGACUAACACCAUUUCAGGUCUCAGGUCUCAGGGGGAAAACCCUUCUCUGGGACUUCUGCCCUCCAACCCAGAAACAGAAGGCAACUGUGUUCAACCACCAUGAAAAGGUUUGCAUUGCUGAAUAUGAAGGAGGAUGCUAUGUCAGAAUGCAGGUGGAAUUUGAGCAAUGCAAGGACUUAGAGAGCGCGUGCGCGAGUGGAGGAGGGGCAGAGACUGAGAGAGAAUCCCAAACAGGCUCCCGGCCAUCAGUAUGGAGCCCGACGUGAGGCUCGAACCUGCGAACCAGGAGAUCAUAACCUGACCCAAACCAGGAGUCAAAUGCUCAACUGACUGAGCCACCAAGGCACCCCUACAUUAAGUUUUCGUACAAAUUUGUGAUUUUAUUUUUUACUUCUAAUAAAAAAUGAUGAAUACCUAAGAAGAAAAAUAACAUUCCAGAAACUAUAUACUCUGCUGUAUGAUAGUUUACAUUUGUUUCAUAUUCAAAUUGCACUUUGAAUAUGUUUCCACUUUAUAUUUUAAUCUUUUAUAUCCCUAUUGUCAGUUGAGCACAAACUAGGAGACAAACUUUGAACAACAACAUAAUUCUUGAUUUUACCCGAAGGGAAGGCGAGAAAAGCAAAUUUUAUACAAUCCAUUGAUUUGUACAGUUUAGGUAUCUUCAUAUUUGCCAUUUAAACACUGCUGAGCCAUCACUAGAACACCUAGACAUGAACAGAAAUUAUUAAAUUCAGUGAUCGUUGAUAUUUUUGACUUUCAGUCAUAUAAGUAUAUAAAUACCACAACUUUUCAUACUAAUGAUCAUCACAUAUCCUUUUGUUGCCUGCUUCCCACACAUGAAACAAACACUUACUCAUUUGUCUUGGGAGAAAAAUCUCAAAUAGCAACUAAGGAACACAUUUGUUUCAAAGCCCGGGGUCUCUCAGUGAUAUGUAAUAAUUACUCUAUCAGAUUCAGACGGAGCUCCGUACAAUAUUCCAGAAAUUCAUGAGUUUAAAGGAGUUGCCUGCUGCCACCUCCCACCCCACCCUGAUGUGCAGAUUGGACGAGGAGAGGAAAACCACAGUAAACAUUCCCAUUUGGAAAGUGGAAAAAGGAGAGAUACCAGUCCCUGUGUCUCCAAAGGAUCCCCCCUCCCCCUCCUCCAAAAGAUCUUAGGUUUCUUCUACAUCAGAGCACAUACGUGAAGGAAGUUCAGCUCGACACUGUUACUCACAC